rnacentral:rRNA from 1 species
CAGCAGCCGCGGUAAAACGUAGGGUGCGAGCGUUAAUCGGAAUUACUGGGCGUAAAGCGUGCGCAGGCAGUUUUGUAAGACAGGCGUGAAAUCCCCGGGCUCAACCUGGGAAUGGCGCUUGUGACUGCAAAGCUAGAGUGCGGCAGAGGGGGAUGGAAUUCCGCGUGUAGCAGUGAAAUGCGUAGAUAUGCGGAGGAACACCGAUGGCGAAGGCAAUCCCCUGGGCCUGCACUGGCGCUCAUGCACGAAAGCUAGGGGAGCAAAUGGGAUUAGAUACCCCGGUAGUCCCUGUCUCUUAUAC